UGCGUAGGCGGAUUAAUAAGUCAGUGGUGAAAUCUUUCGGCUCAACCGAGAAACUGCCAUUGAUACUGUUAAUCUUGAGUUCGGUUGAGGUAGGCGGAAUGUGCAAUGUAGCGGUGAAAUGCUUAGAUAUUACACAGAACACCAAUUGCGUAGGCAGCUUACUAGACCGACACUGACGCUGAGGCACGAAAGCGUGGGGAGCGAACAGGAUUAGAUACCCUGGUAGUCC
rnacentral:rRNA from 1 species